UCGUGACCUGACCAAAAUAGACCGUGCACGCGUAAUCUUGCCUGUCGGCGAUGGCACAGUCCGUCGCUCGGCCAAGUCCUCGACAGCCUCAUCUCCUCGGAGUGGGGCUCGGGGUAAAAGAACCCACGACGCCUAAGGCGUCAAGGAACACUGUGCCUAGCCCGGGGAUGCGGACGGCUUGCUGGCCGCCCCCGUGUUGCAAUGCUAUUUAAUCCACACGACUCUCGGCAACGGAUAUCUCGGCUCUCGCAUCGAUGAAGAACGUAGCGAAAUGCGAUACCUGGUGUGAAUUGCAGAAUCCCGCGAACCAUCGAGUCUUUGAACGCAAGUUGCGCCCGAGGCCAUUCGGCUGAGGGCACGCCUGCCUGGGCGUCACGCAAAACACGCUCCCACCCCCUCAUCGGGUAGCGGGACGCGGCAUGUGGCCCCCCGUAGCGCAAGCUGCGGUGGGCCGAAGAUAUGGCUGCCGGUGUAUCGUGCCGGACACAGCGCGUGGUGAGCGACCUCGCUUUACUUACCGCAGUGCAUCCGGGGCGUAGCCGACGUGAUGGCCUCUAAGGACCCUUUAACGGUGCGCACGACGCUCCGACC
rnacentral:misc_RNA from 1 species